rnacentral:lncRNA from 1 species
CACAACUCAAUCAUUUCACCUUUGCACACUUGCAUAAACAUAAAGCUCUCAAUUCAAUUUCAAGUCACACCUUAAAAUCUUACACACUCAUAAUUAAAUCACUUUUACUAAAUUGAUGGCUUUCAUUUCAUCCUUUUUCAACUGUUUUGGCAUCUCUUCAAACUCAUCAUUACAAGUUUCUGAUUAUGAUAAAAAAUUAUCUCAAUCGAAAUCUUCAUCAUCAACGGAGAAAUCAAAGAGCAAGGAAAAAUUAAAGGGAGCUCCUUUGGUGGUUUAUCAUUUUCCUGUUAACUCUAAUCUCUCACUUUUGUAGUCAUGUCUUGUUAAGAAAUUUAUUUAUUUAUUUUGGUACUUGAUAUUCUUUUAUUUAUUUCUUCAUUGGUGGUUUAUCAUUUUCCUGUUAACUCUAAUCUCUCACUUUUGUAGUCAUGUCUUGUUAAGAAAUUUAUUUAUUUAUUUUGGUACUUGAUAUUCUUUUAUUUAUUUCUUCUUAUUUGUAUUAGAAUUUUUUAUAGGAUUUGUAUCAAUAACUAAUAUUACUUUCUUGAUAUUACUUGAUGUGUUUUUAAUUUCAUUUCAUUAAUAAUGUAAUAUUACUAAAUUCUUUCUCCAAGAUACUUAAUCAAAAAAUUGUGUUAAAUAGAAAAUUGUGUAUGCAAACUAAUGGGAGGGUUUGAAAACAACAUCUGAUUUUGGAUGAUUUACGUAAUUGAGUGUGUGCAAAAUUAUAACCUUGUAGUCAAUGAGAUGUUCCACAAUCAAAAAUAGUCUUUAAUUAUCUUGACAAGAAAGGAGUAGAUUUAUCGACCCACACAAAGGAAGAACAAGGAGACUCAUGGAACUUUAGGUAGAACUACUUAUAAGAGAAGAAUUUAAUAAAAUUCACAAGAUAUGUUCCAAAUUGAUCUCCUUGAAAAUAAAUCACCAUAUUUUUUUAUGCA